UACGGAGGGUGCAAGCGUUAUCCGGAUUCACUGGGUUUAAAGGGUGCGCAGGCGGGCACGUACGUCAGUGGUGAAAUCUCCGGGCUUAACCCGGAAACUGCCAUUGAUACUAUUUGUCUUGAAUACUGUGGAGGUCAGCGGAAUAUGUCAUGUAGCGGUGAAAUGCUUAGAUAUGACAUAGAACACCAAUUGCGAAGGCAGCUGGCUACACGAAUAUUGACACUCAGGCACGAAAGCGUGGGGAUCAAACAGG
rnacentral:rRNA from 1 species